GGGGCGAACCGGUCAAGUUGCUGGCGGAUAGCUGGAGGGGGACGCAGGAAGGUAGGUGAACCGGGGCGAUGGUUGUCCCCGGGUAAGCGUGUAGGGGGAUCCCGAUGAGAGUUGGGGUCAUUAACUCUGAGACGUGAUGCCGAGCCGAUUAAGGCGAAGUCACUGAUCCUAUGCUGCCAAGAAAAGCCCAACAGUGAGUUGGCACGGCACCCGUACCCCAAACCGACACAGGUGGGCGGGUAGAGAAUACCAAGGCGAUCGGGAGAACUAUGGUUAAGGAACUCGGCAAAUUACAUCCGUAACUUCGGGAGAAGGAUGACCCUAUUAGGGUGACGGGAUUUACUCCCCGAGCUCGAGAGGGUGGCACAAACCAGGGGGUAGCGACUGUUUACCAAAAACACAGCAGCGUGCGAAGCCGCAAGGCGCUGUAUACGCUGUGACGCCUGCCCAAUGCUGGAAGGUCACGGGGAACGGUUAGUCGAAAGGCGAAGCUGUGAACCUAAGCCCCAGUGAAUGGCGGCGGUAACUAUAACCGUCCUAAGGUAGCGAGAUUCCUUGUCAGGUAAGUUCUGACCUGCACGAAUGGCGUAACGACUUCCCCACUGUCUCAACCAUAGACCCGGCGAAAUUGAAGUACGAGUAAAGAUGCUCGCUAGCUGCGGAAGGACGGAGAGACCCCAUGGACCUUUACUAUAACUUGAUAUUGAGCUUUGUCCUGCAUUGUGUAGGAUAGGUGGGAGACUUGGAAGCAGUGGCGCCAGCCAUUGUGGAGUCAUCGUUGAAAUACCACCCUGUGUAUGACGGGGCUCUAACCUGGGUCCAUUAUCUGGAUCAGGAACAGUGUCAGGCGGGUAGUUUGACUGGGGCGGUCGCCUCCUAAAAUGUAACGGAGGCGCCCAAAGGUUCCCUCAGGCUGGUUGGCAAUCAGCCGUCGAGUGCAAUGACACAAGGGAGCUUGACUGCGAGACUGACAGGUCAAGCAGGUGCGAAAGCAGGGCAUAGUGACCCGGCCAUCACGCGUGGAAGUGUGGUCGCUCAACGGAUAAAAGGUACCCUGGGGAUAACAGGCUAAUCUUUCCCAAGAGUCCAUAUCGACGGAAAGGUUUGGCACCUCGAUGUCGGCUCAUCGCAUCCUGGGGCUGAAGCAGGUCCCAAGGGUUGGGCUGUUCGCCCAUUAAAGCGGUACGCGAGCUGGCUUCAGAACGUCGUGAGACAGUUCGGUCCCUAUCCUCCGCAGCCGAAGGUGUAUUGAGGAAGGCUGUCCCUAGUACGAGAGGACCGGGACGGACGGAGCUCUGGUGUGUCUGUUGUCCUGCCAAGGGCAUGGCAGAUUAGCCACCUCCGGAAGGGAUAACUGCUGAAAGCAUCUAAGUAGGAAACCCGUUCCAAGAUGAGUACACCCAUGCGGUUAACGCAGUAAGGCCCGUGGCAAGACCACCACGUUGAUAGGCCGGAGGUGUAAGCACGGUAACGUGUGUAGCCGACCGGUACUAAUCGGCCGAGGGCUUGGACU
rnacentral:rRNA from 1 species